AGUGGGUCAAAUGAGCCCAUUUAAUUAGUUAACCUCUAUGAGUUGUUCUAUGUGCAUUCAUCACUGAUUUAGAUUUGCAACUCGUGACACUAGGGCUUUGUCAGAAGAAAAGGAGAAAAAAAGUAUAAAAAAAGAGACAAAAAAGAAUGAAAAAUAAGAAUGAAAAAAAUAAAAGAAAUUGAAAGGGCAAAAUAUGUGGGAGAGAGAAAAACAAGUGAGAAAUAUAAAAAAAAAAGAAUGUAAAUAAAGAAAUAAGCAAGGGGGCCUACAUAAAAGUCUUAAAAAAAUUAUAUACAUAGCAUUCACACUGAAAAUGGAAGGUGGCACGCUUUUUCUUGUUUUUUCUAUGGGUUUUGUUGCGUUUUGUCCGGAUAUUUGGAUGGAAGGUGGCGGCGACGCUCACACUGAAAAUGGAACGAGUGUUGGCAGAUCUGCCAUUGGAAGGGGGUGAGGAGGAAUGACGGAAUGUGGAUUUGGACGGGGAGGAGAAGGGGGAAGAGGACAAGUUCUGUGCGGUGGGCAGUUUUCUAACUGCUAAUGGCAUUCAAUUUCAGGCGAUGAAGUCCACUCUUGCGAAUAUUUGGCACCCGCAUGGAGGAGUGACGAUAUCUGACUUACGUGUGAAACGUCUUAUGUUUAAGUUUUAUUAUGAGAUCGACUUUGAUAGAUUUCUUGAGGGGAGUCCUUGGACUUUCAUUGGGCAUUUAUUGGUAUUUUAUAGUCUAAGGAAGGGGGAAGAUCCAAUGGUGGUUCCGUUGAUCUUUGUGGAUUUUUGGGUUCAGAUCCACGAUUUGCCCUUUGGUUUGAUCUCGGAGGUGAUGGGUAGACAGUUUGGGAUCUUUAUUGGGACUUUCCUGGAAUAUGACAUGAAAGCAAUGGGAAGGGUUUUCGGGGUUAUAUGAGGGUUAGCGUUCAAGCUUGGUUUUAGUAUGAGAGAUUGUCUGUUUAUUGGGCCACUUUGAAGGUUUUUACCCGGUGCAUAUAGUUCACAGACGUAGGGAGUUACCUCUGGAAUGGGACUUAUUUAUUAAGGCAGCUCCGUGAAGGGCAGUGGUAGGAAAGAGUUGCUGGCUUAGGUAGGAAUGUGAAGUCUUCAAAAUGGAUUAGGCGCGAAGGCUUUCACGCAGAAGUUCGAUUGGGGGACAUAAUGAUAUUCAAAGUGUUAUCCAAAAUUGUACCCUAACGAAUAAUGUGGGUAUUACUUUGGGGUUGAAUUUAGGUGGCUGGGAGCAUUAUGAUUCUGAGGGUGCAUAGAAUGUAAAUCUGAAUAUGAGUCUGGUUGAAGAGGAUUCUCCGUUAGCUGUUAGGGAAGGAAAAAAGUGGUCAUGUAUUUCUGUCUCCAAUCCUGUUUUUGUACAUAUGGAUUCGAAGGGCAUUGUUGAUGGAUUCGAAGGGCAUUGUUGAUGAACAAUCUGUUGUUCACUCUUUUGGAACAUCAGUUGGCUUUGGGGGACAGAGCAACUGGGCGUCAUGAAAAUUUUAAGCUGAAAUGUCUGAGGGAUAGAGAACCCUCGGGCAGUGCGCCGCCUUUGACAUGUGUUAAAGAAUUUAUGCCCUAGUGUGGCUUUUUUUCAUUGAGACGAAGCUACGGAAAACUCGGAUGGAGAGGGUGCGUAGAAAUGUUGGGUUUCGUUGUGGGAUUGAGGUAGGUAGUGAGGGGUCAAGGGGCGGCAUGGCCCUUUGUUGGAAGGAGGAUUGUAAAGUACAAUUACGUAGUUAUUCUAUAAAUCAUAUUGAUCUUCUGGUAGAAGAGGAUCUUGAUGGUUAUCAGUGGCGGUUUACUUGGUUUUAUGGUUUUAUGGGUCACCGGUUGAGGGUCGUUGUUUUUAGUCUUUGAGAAUUUUUGUGCCAAUUAUUUGCCAGAGCUGAUUACCAUUGGGUUUUCAUGGGUGAUUUUAAUGAGAUUGUUUUUUCCUACGAGAAACAGGGUGAUCAGAUGAGGCCUGAAAGAAAUAUGGAUGAUUUUAGAGCCGUGCUUGAUGAUACUGAUUUGAUUGAUCUGGGAUAUGUGGACAAUGGUAUAUGUGGGAAAGAGGUAAGCUUCUUGAGAAUAAUAUCCAUGAGCGCAUUGAUAGAGGGGUUUCAGGGUUGGCUUGGAAGGAAUUAUUCCCGAAUUAUAGACUUACGCAUUGCUUUCACUCUAUCUCUGAUCACUGCUCAUUACUUUUGGAAACGGAUGUUGUAGUUGUGCUUUAGGGUCGAAGGAAAAGAUGUUUUCGAUUCGAGGCUUAUUGGUUGUUGGAAGAAUCGUGUGAAGCAGAAAUUAAGCACCAGUAGGAGUGGUCGAUAGGUGUUGUUCCUGAUCGUAUUUGAUUGUUGGGUGAUGGUUUACUAACUUGGGCUAAACGAGUAAGAGACCAAUUGAAAUUGAAUGUGACUAGGCUGUAGGAUUGACUUAAACAUUUUGGUUAGGGGGAGCCUCACGAUAAGGUGCUGGAGGAAGUGGUUUUAGCCAAAAUGAACCUUAAUCUUGAGAUUGACAAGAGGAAGAUGUAUUGGGAGCAGAGAGCAGGGGCUACAAUAUGGUGACUGCAACACAACGUUUUUCCAUAAGUUUGCUUCCCAUCGAUGGCGUGUUAAGGUUGUGGAUCAGAUCAAAGAUGUUGAUGGACGAAUGGUUAGGGGGGCUGAUGAAUUUGAGAAAGUGGCUUGCCAUUAUUUCAGAGAUUUGUUUACAACAAAGGGACGAGGGGAUAUGGACUGUUUGUUAUUAGGCAUUUCGAGUUCUAUCUCUGCGGAUAUGAAUAGCUAUCGCUGUACUGAUUUUACAGAGGAGGUCUUGCUAGCUGUUCGUAGUAUGACACCCACCAAGCCAGCAAUGAGAGAUGGUAUGCCUACUUUAUUCUAUCAACUAUUUAGGCAUAUUGUAGGCAAGGAUAUUAGUGAUUAUUGUUUGCACGUGCUUAAUGAUUGUGUUUCAUUUGAUGACAUUAAUGAUACAAAUAUUGUUCUUAUUCCCAAGAACCGUAGCCCACAGAACAUGACUUGUUUUCGCCCUAUCAGUCUUUACAAUGUGUUAUUUAAGAUUAUAUCUAAAAUGAUUGUUAAUAGACUACAAAGGGUUAUGACUCAUUGUAUCAACGAGGCACAGAGUGCCUCUAUACCUGGCCCAUUGAUUAUGGAUAAUACGCUUGUGGCCUUUGAGUUGUUUCAUUCUUUUAGGAAGAAGCGUCGGGGGCUUAAAGAUAGUUUUGCUGUAAAGUUGGAUAUGAACAAAGCUUAUGACAAGGUGGAAUGACAUUUAAUCUAGGAGGUUAUGCUCAAAAUCAGAUUUGAUGUGAAUUAGGUUAACUUGUCAUGCGAUGCGUUCGCUCAGUCAAAUAUUCAGUAAUUGUGGAUGGGAAAGCUAGGGGGAAUAUCGUGCCAACCCAGGGUUGCGUCAAGGUGACCCCUUAUGCCUGUUCUUUUUUAUUUUUUUUUGCAAUGAGGGCUUCACUUCUCUUUUGAAAUUGGCUCACGAUGAUGGACUCUUGAAGGGAGUAAAGGCAAGUGGUUCAGGGCCUCGGGUAUCUCAUUUAUUGUUCGCGGAUGAUAGUUUGGUAUUUGGAGAGGCUUCGAUUGAGGGGCUAAAUAUGUGGUGGAAAUCCUGAAAGAGUAUGAACAAUGUUUGGGCCAGUAGACCAAUUUUGGAAAAUCUCUAGUUUACUUUAGUUUGAAUGUGAUCCAAGGAAUGCGUCGAGAUAUUGUGGAUAUUUUGGGGGUCUGUAGUACCAUGGAUCCUGGGAUUUAUCUGUGCUUGCCAGUGGUUGUUGGUAGGAACGAAAAAAGGGCCUUUUGUAGUCUUUAAGGAGCGCUUUCUUGAGUGGAUUGGAGGGUGGUACAACCGGCGUCUUUCGCAGGGUGAGAGAUGGAUUCUUUGUUGAGGGAGCGCGAGACUACUGACUCGUUGGUUUAGAAGCCUCCAAUUGACCCGUGGGUUCGAGUAAACUUUGAUGCUGGAUUCUAUGGUCAUCUCCAUUCUGCAAGUACAUGAGUGGUUGUUAGGGACUCAGAGGGUUAUAUGCUAGGAUCGACCUAUCUUUGGAAAAAGCAUAUACCUGAUGCGGCGGCUGCGGAGGCAUUGGCUUGUGUGCUUGCUGUUCAAUUUGCCAGGGAUCUAGGGCUUCGACGGGUGGAGCUAGAAGGGGAUUCAGAAGCGGUCAUUUCCAAACUCAAACAUGCGGGGAUUGACAGACGAAAAUCAGUGGAUAUAUUUGGGAUGCUCGACAAAUGUUAUUAGGUUUUGAGCAUUUUAAAUUUUAUCAUAUUAAACGAUGGGGGAACAGAGCUGCGCACCUGUUGGCUUGGGAAGUGUUCCUCCGGGAGUGAGACGAAUGUUGGGUAGAGGAUGGACCGUUGUCGAUUCAAGAGGAGGUAGAUCGGUAUAGAAGGCGAGGGCCUGUCAACGGAUGAUUUUAGGCAUGUUUAUAGUAGCUGCGAUACAGAUCUGGUCACUUUCCACAGCGGUUGUUUUGGGUCCUACCUUGGUCGAAGAUCGGAUGAGAUUGAUGGUAUUGCUUUUUUGCUUUUGGUAGGGACUGCAUUUAUGGGCGGAUUGCCCGAUGGUUGUUUGUUUAAUGUUUUUGGAGUUUUAUUAGGAAAAAAACAAUUGACUUCUUGCCACGUGUGAUUUCCGUCACACUCCUAAUAUCAGGUAACAAUAUAAUGAUGAAAAUGUUAUAAAUUGAUAAUAUUAAUAAUAGUUUCCUGGUAAAAUUAAA